CUAAUACAUGCAAGUCGAACGAAGUUCUGAUUAUUGAAAGGUGCUUGCAUCUUGAUUUAAUUUUGAACGAGUGGCGGACGGGUGAGUAACACGUGGGUAACCUGCCCUUAAGUGGGGGAUAACAUUUGGAAACAGAUGCUAAUACCGCAUAAAUCCAAGAACUGCAUGGUUCUUGGCUGAAAGAUGGCGUAAGCUAUCGCUUUUGGAUGGACCCGCGGCGUAUUAGCUAGUUGGUGAGGUAACGGCUCACCAAGGCAAUGAUACGUAGCCGAACUGAGAGGUUGAUCGGCCACAUUGGGACUGAGACACGGCCCAAACUCCUACGGGAGGCAGCAGUAGGGAAUCUUCCACAAUGGACGCAAGUCUGAUGGAGCAACGCCGCGUGAGUGAAGAAGGCUUUCGGGUCGUAAAACUCUGUUGUUGGAGAAGAAUGGUCGGCAGAGUAACUGUUGUCGGCGUGACGGUAUCCAACCAGAAAGCCACGGCUAACUACGUGCCAGCAGCCGCGGUAAUACGUAGGUGGCAAGCGUUAUCCGGAUUUAUUGGGCGUAAAGCGAGCGCAGGCGGUUUUUUAAGUCUGAUGUGAAAGCCCUCGGCUUAACCGAGGAAGUGCAUCGGAAACUGGGAAACUUGAGUGCAGAAGAGGACAGUGGAACUCCAUGUGUAGCGGUGAAAUGCGUAGAUAUAUGGAAGAACACCAGUGGCGAAGGCGGCUGUCUGGU
rnacentral:rRNA from 1 species